rnacentral:rRNA from 1 species
AGUGAACGCUGGCGGUAGGCCUAACACAUGCAAGUCGAACGGCAGCACAGUAAGAUCUUGCUCUUACGGGUGGCGAGUGGCGGACGGGUGAGGAAUACAUCGGAAUCUACUUUUUCUUGGGGGAUAACGUAGGGAAACUUACGCUAAUACCUCAUACUACCUACGGGUUUAAUCAGGGGUUCUUCGGACCUUUCGCGUUUUUUUUAGCCGAUGUCGGAUUAGCUAGUUGGCUGGGUAAUGGCCCACCAAGGCGACGAUCCGUAGCUGGUUUGAGAGGAUGAUCAGCCACACUGGAACUGAGACACGGUCCAGACUCCUACGGGAGGCAGCAGUGGGGAAUAUUGGACAAAGGGCGCAAGCCUGAUCCAGCAAUACCGCGUGAGUGAAGAAGGACUUCGGGUUGUAAAGCCCUUUUGUUGGGAAAGAAAAGCAGCAGGUUAAUACCCCGAUGUUGUGACGGUACCCAAAGAAUAAGCACCGGCUAACUUCGUG